CUGAGAAACCGAARGGUCGAAUGGGGAAAUUCAUUCGCGUUUCGAUUGUCGGCGUCGAGCGGUUGCGUGACUGACGGAGUACGCUUCGUUAGCACCUUCAGUUCGUCGAACCGACUUCGAACGCGUGCACUUUUCCCCUAGUAGGACGUCGCGAUCCGUUGGGUGUCGGUCUAAGGCCUGCGGUGGAGCUCGCGCGGACGUUUCGGCGUCUGCACGAACCCGCAGUGUCCCGAUCGACUCGCUCGACGGUAUAAAGAUGGCGCGGGGCCGCUACACAGUUAGCGUUCGGCCUACGGCAAGCACGUACGGUGUACGACGGCGAUCAGACCUGGUCGGAUCCCGUCCCCGGACGACUGUUGGCUCGUAGUGUUCUCGAACAGACCUCGUUGAAACGCCGAUCUGCGACGCUAUAGCUUUGGGUACUUUCAGGACCCGUCUUGAAACACGAC
rnacentral:rRNA from 1 species